UGUGCUAUACUAGUAAGGUUGAAUGAAUCAACCCUUGGUGCUUAGCUUCUUUCACCAAGCAUAUUACACGCGGAUAACCGCCAAAGGAGAAAAGAUG
rfam:Streptococcus pneumoniae CGSP14, complete genome.